CUUGGAAGAAUGNAAGUGUAUUAUAAUAAUACAAUAACGAUUAUAUCGUAUAAAAUUCUAAAUAGAAUAAUGAUAAUGAAAUUUUCUAUUUAUAAGUCUUGACCAAACUACGUGCCAGCAGUCGCGGUAAUACGUAGAAGACUAGUGUUAAUCAUCUUUAUUAGGUUUAAAGGGUACCUAGACGGUAAAUUAAACUCUAAAUGAGUACUUAUUUACUAGAGUUUUAUGUAAGAAGGAAGAAUUUCUGGAGUAGUGAUAUAAUACGUAUAUACCAGAGAGACUGGUAACGGCGAAGGCAUCCUUCUAUGUAAAAACUGACGUUGAGGGACGAAGGCUUGGGUAGCAAGAAGGAUUAGAUACCCUAGUAGUCCAAGCAGACAAUGAUGAAUGUCAUAGACUAGAAAAAAUUUAGUCUAUAAAUGAAAGUGUAAGCAUUCCACCUCAAGAGUAAUAUGGCAACAUAUAAACUGAAAUCAUUAGACCGUUUCUGAGACCAGUAGUGAAGUAUGUUAUUUAAUUCGAUGNUCCGCGAAAAACCUUACCACAGUUUGAAUAUUUUACAAGCGCUGCACGGCUGUUUUUAGUUAAUGUCGUGAGAUCUGGUUAAGUCCUUUAAUUAACGAAAACCCUCACUUUAUUUAUUUAUAAAGUUGAUCGCCUUUAUAUUGGUUAGAUAAUAGGGAUUAAGACAAGUCAUCAUGGCC
rnacentral:rRNA from 1 species